GAUCAGGAAAACAGAAUCUCAAGUAAGUACACCUCUAGGUACUUAUUGGCCAUUCGAGAUUCCUUGGUUGAGAAUUCUUUGCUUAGCUCUGUACUUUCUCAAACUAUUUGAUUUUGUGGUCUUCCAAGGACAAGGUGCAAUGCUUUGUAAAGAUGGUGGCCUUAAAUAAAUAAUGAGCAAGUUUAAAAUAAAUUUUUAAAGAUAAGGAUUGAUGUAUAAAAAUGGCAGCUAUUACUUUAUUGUGAAUUAUAAUGUGGCUAAGGUAAAUGCUAUCUGUCUUCUUUUCUUAUUUUUUAGCUCUGGCCUAUUGUCUUAGGUGUUUGCCACCCACCAAGUUCCUGUGGGUGAGGGAGGGGUAAGCCAGUAGGUGGAAAAGAAUCCAGACAGAUGAAAGUUUUUUUUUCUUAUUAAAGAAUUAACUGUAAUUAUUAAUGUGUUUGAACAAAAUCAUAUAUUGCCCAAGGAAAGGUGAACAAUAUUACAGAUGUCAGGUUUUCUAUGUCUUGUUUUCUGAGAAUAGAAACGGAACUAGAAAGACCAGCUUUGGUCUUCAGAAAAUUGUUUUUAAAAACCAUCUUUUGUUGCUUUCGUUUAAACUAGUGGAUCUUAAGGCAGCUUCCAGCUUUCUGGAGGAAAGAACCUGAAAAGAACUGCACUUUGGUGGAAGUUCUCGGGCAAACCAUUCAUAAGUACUAGAGACAGCCACUGUUUUGCAGCCGAAUGAUGCAGGGGCCUAAUUCUAGCACCCAGCAGUAAAUUUAGCCUACUGGGACUACAGUUCCUAGAAGUUUUCAUACUGGAAGUAAGCCUUUCAUAGAACACAUAGCAUCCUCUUAGCCCAUCACUUAUAACUGUGAUUUUUCAAAAGAGCAUAAUAAAUUAGAAAUUAUUCAGUAGACAUCAGGGAAUUUCUGUGUCCUCUGUUUUUUUUUUUUCUUCCUUUUCAGUUUCAUUUCAUCAGUUCUAUGAAGGAAGGGACCGUAGACUGUCCAUGCAUCUUCUAUAGCUCUUUUAAGUGUUAGAUUAAAAAUUUAACUUACCCCUACCAAUUGAACGGAGAUAAACCAUUUUCUUGCACCUCCCUAAAGGACCCUUCCCUGUGUCAAUGCAACCUAUCACUGUUAGGUUCACAGGACUUCAUGUGAACUUAAUCUUUGAGUGGGGGAGUCUUUGGGGGAGGUAAAAGGAUACAGACUUGAAAAUCUGUUUGAGAUUUUCCAGUCUCAUGUUUGCUUUUUAUUAUCUGUGCUUUGUUUUCUUUCCUGAGUGUCAUUCAGUUUCUACAUUGGUAAGAUGGGAUUUCUAUUGAUUGAUUGACUGACUGACUGACUGACUGACUGAUUAAUUGAUUGAGAUAGGAUCUUGCUGGAUAAUUAGGCUGGACUCAGACUCAGCUUAACUGAGACUGCAGGUCUGUGCCACGAUGCUGGGUCCUAAGUUGGGUAUUUAAACAGAUGUAUGUAUUGAAUAGUCUGCUGGCUGGUAUGUAAGUGCACCUUGUGUGUGCCUGGUCCCCGCAGAGGCCAGAAGAGAGUGUCUGCUUCCCUGGAACUGGACUUACAGAUGGUUAUGAGCUGCCAUGUUGGUGCUGGGAGCUAAACCUAGAUCCUCUGCAAGAGGAGCCAGUGCUCUAAAUUGCUGAGUGUCUUUUCAGCUCUAAGAUGGGGAUCUAAUUUCUAUUCUGCAAGUUUGCUAUAAAGCUUGUUGAUAAGAAAUUGUGUACAGGGGUCAGGGAUGCAGUUUAGUUGGGAAAGUGCUUGCCCUGGGUUUGAAGCACUGUGUUAACAGGAUGUAGUAGGCUACACAUGUAAUCUUAACACUCAGGAGAUGGAGGCUAGUGAAUUGGGAGUUCAAGGUUACGCUUGGCCACAUCGAUAAUUUGAAGCCAGUCUGGACCUGUGU
rnacentral:lncRNA from 1 species